UUAAGUUCAGCGGGUAUUCCUACCUGAUCCGAGGUCAACCUUGUGCCGCGCGGGGCGGGCUUGUAGGGGGUUUUGACGGCAAGAAACCCGGAGGCUCCCGAUGCGAGACAUGAGUUACUACGCAAGGGAAGGGCCGCCACGGGUCCGCCGCUGAUUUCAGGGACCACGCCAGGCGUGGAACCCCAACGCCGGGCCCCAAG
rnacentral:misc_RNA from 1 species